UACGGGGGGAGCAAGCGUUGUUCGGAUUUACUGGGCGUAAAGGGCGCGUAGGCGGCGCGACAAGUCACUUGUGAAAUCUCCCGGCUCAACCGGGAGCGGCCAAGUGAUACUGUCGCGCUGGAGUGCAGAAGGGGCGACCGGAAUUCUCGGUGUAGCGGUGAAAUGCGUAGAUAUCGAGAGGAACACCUGUGGCGAAGGCGGGUCGCUGGGCUGACACUGACGCUGAGGCGCGAAAGCUAGGGGAGCGAACGGG
rnacentral:rRNA from 1 species